CCGUGUUCAAUUUUCACAUCAUUGUGCCACUUGUGCACAUCAAAAAAGCAGUUUCUCAUUUCUUUGAACAACUUGCAAAUGCUUUGGUACAUCCAUGCAAAUGAUUAUGUACAAUUUUCUGCUGUUUUCUACAUUAUCAAUUGCUUAUGUCAUGUUGAUCAAAAUGUAUUAUAAUGGGUCUCUGUUGAAUAGUCUCACCUCCCUCAACAUUUAGGCAUUAGUUCAUUGCAUAAGUCUUAACAUGCAAAAUGGUUGAACAAGCUGUCAUAAUAUGUCAAGCAUAUUUCUAUACAUUUCCAUCAGACGUUUCUGAAUCUGUCCUGAAUUGGUAAAUUGCUCCCAGGUGAAUCUUGACUUUCUCUAACGGUGGGAAAUGUGUGAAGCAUUAGAUCAACCAAUGAUCAACCACUUUUCUGAAAUAGCUCAAAGGUGCAUCUCAUGAACCAUCAACUGGCAAGUAUAUAUAUUGCCGGAGCACAACACAAUGUUACAAUGUCUGACAAUGGAAGGACAAGGAAUUGGACGGGGUUAACAGCCAGAGAGAAGAAGAGGAAGAGGAGUGAGGCUGCGUGGCGGAGGAGUUGGGAGGCAAAACAGAGGAAGAGGCAGAAUAGGCAGAGGACAUAUGCGCGUUCCUGAUGAGAUAAGAGCUACACUUGUAGACCACAUUCUCAAUCAUGGGCUUACAAUGGCUGAGGCUGGCCGAAGGGUGCAGCCAAAUGUUGGGAGAACAACUGUGUCCUCAAUCAUUCAGACUUUUCGUUGACAGAACAGGUAUGUAAUCUAACAAUAGGCACUGUAAUGUAAUACUGUAUACUUUCUGUGAUGCUUCAUACAAUAUUGCAGUAUUCGACUUUCAUUUUACAAUAUACAGUAAGUAUACUAUAUACAGUGACAUUGUAGGUGUAGGAAGACUGUACUGUAAUUCCUACAGCACUGCAUUUCCAGUUUUCCCUAAGGAAAUUGUCGUAUGUUCACAUUUCUACUUUUUUUUUUUUUUUUAUUGUGCUCUGCAGUGCUGUCUUUUUCUUUUCUGUAUCGCUAUGACAUGGUCUGUCAUCAAAUUACAGUCUCUUGCAAUCAAUCUCCCACAUACACUGAGGUGUAACUUCCAAUUUACAAUGAUUGUCAUCAAAACUUUAGCCAUAGUUUACAUCAGAACAUCCCUCCAGAGUACACUGUUAUACUGACAACAUGACUAAGCAAUUUGACUGUCUUAUCCGUGCA